GGCGGUUCUCUGGUGACACACCCAGGAAUUGGGCUUCCUCCUCUUUGGUUCGGGUGUAUCACCCGAGAAUAGCA
rfam:Myotis lucifugus cont2.42431, whole genome shotgun sequence.